rnacentral:rRNA from 1 species
ACGAACGCUGGCGGCAUGCCUAACACAUGCAAGUCGAACGGAGUUUUUUGUUUGGAAGUUCUUCGGAAUGGAAGAAUAAGAACUUAGUGGCGGACGGGUGAGUAACGCGUGGGUAACCUGCCCUUUUGUGGGGAACAACUUCGAGAAAUCGGAGCUAAUACCGCAUGAGCUUAUGGGAUCGCAUGGUUUCAUAAGGAAAGAUGGCCUCUGAGAAUGCUAUCGCAAAAGGAUGGACCCGCGUCUGAUUAGCUAGUUGGUAAGGUAACGGCUUACCAAGGCAACGAUCAGUAGCCGGCCUGAGAGGGUGAACGGCCACAUUGGGACUGAGACACGGCCCAAACUCCUACGGGAGGCAGCAGUGGGGAAUCUUCCGCAAUGGGCGAAAGCCUGACGGAGCAAUGCCGCGUGAGUGAAGAAGGCCUUCGGGUUGUAAAACUCUGUCCUUAUCGAAGAGAGGGAAGUAUGUGAAUAAUGUAUUUCUAGGACGGUAGAUAAGGAGGAAGCCCCGGCUAACUACGUGCCAGCAGCCGCGGUAAUACGUAGGGGGCGAGCGUUGUCCGGAAUCACUGGGCGUAAAGGGCGCGUAGGCGGUUUAAUAAGUCAGUGGUGAAAACUUGGGGCUCAACCCCGAGCCUGCCACUGAUACUGUUAGACUUGAGUAUGGAAGAGGAGAAUGGAAUUCCUAGUGUAGCGGUGAAAUGCGUAGAUAUUAGGAGGAACACCAGUGGCGAAGGCGAUUCUCUGGGCCAAGACUGACGCUGAGGCGCGAAAGCGUGGGGAGCAAACAGGAUUAGAUACCCUGGUAGUCCACGCCGUAAACGAUGGAUACUAGGUGUUAGGAGUUUCGAUGCUUCUAGUGCCGGAGUAAACACAAUAAGUAUCCCGCCUGGGGAGUACGGUCGCAAGACUGAAACUCAAAGGAAUUGACGGGGGCCCGCACAAGCGGUGGAGCAUGUGGUUUAAUUCGACGCAACGCGAAGAACCUUACCAAGACUUGACAUCCCUUUGACCGGAUAUGUAAUGUAUCCUUCUUCUUCGGAAGCAAAGGUGACAGGUGGUGCAUGGUUGUCGUCAGCUCGUGUCGUGAGAUGUUGGGUUAAGUCCCGCAACGAGCGCAACCCUUAUUUCUAGUUGCCAGCAUUCGGUUGGGCACUCUAGAGAGACUGCCAGUGACAAACUGGAGGAAGGUGGGGAUGACGUCAAAUCAUCAUGCCCCUUAUGUCUUGGGCUACACACGUGCUACAAUGGUCAGAACAGAGGGGAGCGAAGCCGCGAGGCGGAGCAAAUCCCAGAAAACUGAUCUCAGUUCGGAUUGCAGGCUGCAACCCGCCUGCAUGAAGUCGGAAUCGCUAGUAAUCGCGGGUCAGCAUACCGCGGUGAAUACGUUCCCGGGCCUUGUACACACCGCCCGUCACACCACGAAAGUUGGUAACACCCGAAGCCGGUGGCCUGACCAGAGAUGGAGGGAGCUGUCGAAGGUGGGACUGAUGAUUGGGGUG